rnacentral:rRNA from 1 species
CGGCAGGCCUAACACAUGCAAGUCGAGGGGCAGCAUAAAGAUAGUUUACUAUUUUGGUGGCGACCGGCGCACGGGUGAGUAACGCGUAUGCAACCUACCUUAUACAGGAGUAUAGCCCGAAGAAAUUCGGAUUAAUCCUCCAUAGUAUUUUCUAAUGGCAUCAUUUGGAAAAUUAAAGCUUCGGCGGUAUAAGAUGGGCAUGCGUCCUAUUAGCUAGAUGGUAAGGUAACGGCUUACCAUGGCAACGAUAGGUAGGGGGCCUGAGAGGGUGAUCCCCCACACUGGUACUGAGACACGGACCAGACUCCUACGGGAGGCAGCAGUGAGGAAUAUUGGGCAAUGGAGGCAACUCUGACCCAGCCAUGCCGCGUGCAGGAAGAAUGCCCUAUGGGUUGUAAACUGCUUUUAUUUAGGAAUAAACCUCUCUACGUGUAGAGAGCUGAAUGUACUAAACGAAUAAGCACCGGCUAA